rnacentral:rRNA from 1 species
GGGGAAUAUUGGACAAUGGGGGGAACCCUGAUCCAGCCAUGCCGCGUGUGUGAAGAAGGCCUUAUGGUUGUAAAGCACUUUAAGCGAGGAGGAGGCUCUUUUGGUUAAUACCCAAGAUGAGUGGACGUUACUCGCAGAAUAAGCACCGGCUAACUCUGUGCCAGCAGCCGCGGUAAUACAGAGGGUGCGAGCGUUAAUCGGAUUUACUGGGCGUAAAGCGUGCGUAGGCGGCCUUGCAAGUCAGAUGUGAAAUCCAACGGCUUAACCGUUGAACUGCAUUUGAAACUGCAAGGCUAGAGUAUGGGAGAGGUAGGUGGAAUUCUCGGUGUAGGGGUAAAAUCCGUAGAGAUCGAGAGGAAUACUCAUUGCGAAGGCGACCUGCUGGAACAUUACUGACGCUGAGGUGCGAAAGCGUGGGGAGCAAACA